rnacentral:snoRNA from 1 species
AUUCUUUGGCUCAUGAGCGUGAUAACCAGGUGCUCACACAAUUGUGUGAGAUAUGCUUCCCCACUAAACCUUGUUACAUUACCUGUCUGACG